rnacentral:sRNA from 1 species
CCUGCGUGAGCCGGAAAGUGAGGCGUCCUU